UCAAAAAAUGUAAACGUCAGAGAAGAGAUUGUUUAAAAUUUACGUUUUUGAGAAUAUCAUAUGCAGGCCUUAUUAAUCAUUAUUAUAAAAUACUGAUGGAAUUAUGAAUAUGCCGUUUUACAUUAUGAAAAUAGGAAUAUAAUGUAGAUCUUGUAUAGAAUUAAAGCAAAAUUGAAAUUCUUUGAAUUGUGCCAUUAUCAUUGUCGAAUAGCGAUAUGAUUACCCAGAUAUAACCACAGCUUCAAUGAUAAAUGGAUCGAGAAGAAAUUCAAAUCUGUUGUUAUAUAAAAUGAAACUAUUUGCAGAGUUUCAUCCGAAUCAGAUUUACCAAGUUCUCGGAAGUACAGCCAAAAUAGUUAUAAUGGAUUUUUUUAAAUGGAAUUUAUAUGGGGCACCCAAUAGAUGUGGAAGCCGAUAUCGUUAUAGUGUUAACGGCUGGUUAACAUUUGACGACGACGGCUACUAAAGCGGAGACGAUUAUAUUAGUUAUCUUACAUGGCUGGACGGAGCACUCUCCUGAUUUAAACUAAUCAGAUCAGUGACGAGGGCAGUGAAAUAUAAACCGAAAACAAAAUUCAAUCUAUUGUACAGAUAGCUAAUCAGGACUCCAGCCUAAAGCGCGCACACAGGAUUCAAGAAACGGAACCCUUAAACAGAGGAGAGUAGAUUAAUCGAGACCCAAACUUACAAAACAUAUACAAGGAUAUUAAUCUAAAGUGAAAUGUAAUUUCAUAUAUUUUAAAGAAAC